rnacentral:ribozyme from 1 species
UCUAUUUUUUUUUUUUUUUUUUUUUCCUAUUUUCUUCUUCCUUAGUCUU